rnacentral:rRNA from 1 species
UUGAACGCUGGCGGCAUGCCUUACACAUGCAAGUCGAACGGUAGAGGGGCAACCCUUGAGAGCGGCGAACGGGUGAGUAAUAUAUCGGAACGUGCCCAGUCGUGGGGGAUAACGCAGCGAAAGCUGCGCUAAUACCGCAUACGAUCUAUGGAUGAAAGCGGGGGAUCGCAAGACCUCGCGCGAUUGGAGCGGCCGAUAUCAGAUUAGGUAGUUGGUGGGGUAAAAGCCCACCAAGCCGACGAUCUGUAGCUG